UACAGAGGGGGCAAGCGUUGUUCGGAAUUACUGGGCGUAAAGGGCGCGUAGGCGGCCUGUUAAGUCGAACGUGAAAUCCCCGGGCUCAACCCGGGAACUGCGUCCGAUACUGGCAGGCUUGAAUCCGGGAGAGGGAUGCGGAAUUCCAGGUGUAGCGGUGAAAUGCGUAGAUAUCUGAAGGAACACCGGUGGCGAAGGCGGCAUCCUGGACCGGUAUUGACGCUGAGGCGCGAAAGCCAGGGGAGCAAACGGG
rnacentral:rRNA from 1 species